rnacentral:rRNA from 1 species
CAAUAGCGUAUAUUAAAGUUGUUGCAGUUAAAAAGCUCGUAGUUGGACCUUGGACCUGGACAGGCGGUCCGCCUCACGGCGUGUACUGUCUUGCUGGGUCUUUCCUCUUGGUGAUCUGUUGUUUCGGCAGCAGGGAACCAGGACUUUUACUUUGAAAAAAUUAGAGUGUUCAAAGCAGGCUCGACGCCGGAAUAUAUUAGCAUGGAAUAAUAAAAUAGGGCGUGCGGUUCUAUUUUGUUGGUUUUUGGAAUCGCCGUAAUGAUUAAUAGGGACAGUCGGGGGCAUUAGUACUCACAUGCUAGAGGUGAAAUUCUUGGAUUUUGUGAAGACUAACUUCUGCGAAAGCAUUUGCCAAGGAUGUUUUCAUUAA